GGAGGGGUGGCCGAAUAGGUGUUAAGUUGUAGCCUUAAUUAUGAGAUUAAGUUGUCUCCCCCUUUA
rnacentral:tRNA from 1 species